UACUCUUCCUUUUAAUAAAAGGAAUCAAAUUAACUUCUCUCUCUUAUUUCCUCACGCACACAUACAUAUACAUUCUCUCUCUCUGCGUUACUUCUCCCUCUCUCUCAGCUCUGUCGUCUCUCUUUCUCUCUCCCUGUCUCCGGCGACCGUCGCCGGCCUUCGUCGCCUCCGGCGCGGCGAGGUCGGCCUCUCCUCUCCCCCUUUCCUUUCUUUCCAUUUCUCUUUUCCCUAAGUCUCAAUCCCCAAAUUAUAAAAUCAAAAUCCUAGGGUUUCUACCUCUCUUCAUCCCCUCUGGAAUUCGUCUCUCCGGCGAAGCCUGCCGCCCCGCCGUCAUCUCUGUCACGCCGCCGCCUCUUCUGACUCAGGAACCGAGGUUUCAAGGGAUUACUCAGAGUGACAGUCGUCUACUGCUCAAGAUUCAAUUUUUAUAUGAUGUAAAUCUGUUUAUUUAUUGAUUAUCGAGAAACUGGGAUUGUGUUGCUGAAUCUGAAUAGAAUAGGGAUGUCUGUAGCUUAUUACUAUUACUACUGUUUUCACUAUUUUUAACUGUUAUUAAGUACAUAAGGAGAAAAGAAAGACUACCUUCUUUAUACAAA